GGAGGGAAGGUGCAAAAAGUCCAGGAGCCGUUAUUCAUCAUCAGUCUUAGUGUGUGACACAGUUUACAUGAAACAGACUCAGUUUGAGGGAGAAGACGCAAGGUUUCCUGUUUACAGCGUCUAUAGUUGGAGCUGUGUUCAGCCGCCUCCUUUGAAACUGAUGGGAGCUUCCUGCAUAACUCGACCUUGAGUUAUCAAGGAUGCCAGGAUCCUCGUCAGGCCAGUAUAUUCCCACACAACCAGCAAGAAAUGGUAAGUCAUGGGCAUGACUACACUCAUACCUAUAUGGGCUCAAAUUAGGUCUAUGUUAUUAUUACUUUAUUUAUUGAUUAAACUCAUUCAGCAACCUGGUAGUUUUAUGUCAUAUAACAUACAUUCCCUGUUGAUAUGAAACUAAGUUUUGUGUACAAGCUGUUUCCAAUAAACUUUUAAUCUGAGUGAGCGAAUUGGGAAA